rnacentral:rRNA from 1 species
UACGGAGGGUGCAAGCGUUAUCCGGAUUUACUGGGUUUAAAGGGUGUGUAGGCGGGCUGUUAAGUCAGUGGUGAAAUCUCCGGGCUCAACCCGGAAACUGCCAUUGAUACUAAUGGUCUUGAAUUUUGUUGAGGUAGGCGGAAUAAGUCAUGUAGCGGUGAAAUGCAUAGAUAUGACUUAGAACACCAAUUGCGAAGGCAGCUUGCUAAACAAAUAUUGACGCUGAGGCACGAAAGCG